rnacentral:rRNA from 1 species
UACAGAGGUCCCGAGCGUUGUUCGGAUUCAUGGGCGUAAAGGGUGCGUAGGCGGCGGGGCAAGUCUGAUGUGAAAGUCCCGGGGCUCAACCCCCGGAACUGCAUUGGAUACUGCCUUGCUCGAGUACUGGAGAGGGAACUGGAAUUUACGGUGUAGCAGUGAAAUGCGUAGAGAUCGUAAGGAAGGCCAGUGGCGAAGGCGAGUUCCUGGACAGU